rnacentral:rRNA from 1 species
AGAGUUUGAUCCUGGCUCAGGAUGAACGCUAGCGGCAGGCUUAAUACAUGCAAGUCGAACGGGAUUCGGGGUAGCAAUACUUUGAUGAGAGUGGCGCACGGGUGCGUAACGCGUAUGCAACCUACCUUUAACAGGGGAAUAGCCCCGAGAAAUCGGGAUUAAUACUCCGUAACAUUGCGGUGUGGCAUCACACUGCACUUAAAGCUGAGGCGGUUAAAGAUGGGCAUGCGUGACAUUAGCUAGUUGGUGAGGUAACGGCUCACCAAGGCAACGAUGUCUAGGGGUCCUGAGAGGGUUAUCCCCCACACUGGUACUGAGACACGGACCAGACUCCUACGGGAGGCAGCAGUAAGGAAUAUUGGUCAAUGGGCGCAAGCCUGAACCAGCCAUGCCGCGUGCAGGAAGACGGCCCUUGGGUUGUAAACUGCUUUUGUCAGGGAAUAAACCCCCGCUCGUGAGCGGGGCUGAAGGUACCUGAAGAAUAAGCAUCGGCUAACUCCGUGCCAGCAGCCGCGGUAAUACGGAGGAUGCAAGCGUUAUCCGGAUUCAUUGGGUUUAAAGGGUGCGCAGGCGGAUUGGUAAGUCAGGGGUGAAAUCCCACAGCUCAACUGUGGAACUGCCUUUGAUACUGUCAGUCUAGAGUAUAGUUGAAGUUGGCGGAAUGUGUCAUGUAGCGGUGAAAUGCUUAGAUAUGACACAGAACACCGAUCGCGAAGGCAGCUAGCUAAGCUAUAACUGACGCUCAUGCACGAAAGCGUGGGGAUCAAACAGGAUUAGAUACCCUGGUAGUCCACGCUGUAAACGAUGAUUACUCGAUGUUGGCGAUACACAGUCAGCGUCUGAGCGAAAGCGAUAAGUAAUCCACCUGGGGAGUACGAUCGCAAGAUUGAAACUCAAAGGAAUUGACGGGGGCCCGCACGAGCGGAGGAGAUGGNGGUUUAAUUCGAUGAUACGC